CCUACGGGCUGCUGCAGUGAGGAAUCUUGGUCAAUGGGCGGGAGCCUGAACCAGCCAAGUCGCGUGAGGGACGACGGUCCUAUGGAUUGUACACCUCUUUUGUCGGGGAACAAAGGCGCCCACGGGUGGGCGGAUGAGUGUACCCGAAGAAAAAGCAUCGGCUAACUCCGUGCCAGCAGCCGCGUUAAGACGGAGGAUGCGAGCGUUAUCCGGAUUUAUUGGGUUUAAAGGGUGCGUAGGCGGACAGUCAAGUCAGCGGUAAAAAUGCGGUUCGCAACGCCGUACAGCCGGGGAAACUGGCAGUCUUGAGUGGGCGAGAAGUAUGCGGAAUGCGGGGUGGAGCGGUGAAAUGCAGAGAUAUCACGCAGAACUCCGAUUGCGAAGGCAGCAUACCGGCGCCCGACGGACGCUGAGGCAUGAAAGCGUGGGUAUCGAACAGGAUUAGAUACCCCAGUAGUC
rnacentral:rRNA from 1 species